UUUUUAUUCAUCAACUUAGGCUGUUGUACAGUAUCUUAGAUCCCUUUAUGGAUCUGUCAAUUUGUUGCAUCACCUUUUGGUUGUCAUUCCUAUGUUCUUAACCCCUAGUUCUUGCAUUGCAGAAGAAUCAGACAAAGUGGCCAGCAAGGGAUUUUCAUUUGGAAGUUAUUUGCCUGAUUGUUCAUCUUUACGGAAAGUUUAUACUAUCUUUUUCUAUGAAUGAGGGAAUGAAAAAAUAAGGAUGGGAUUACAUAGAGGUUGGACUCAAUGGGGUAUUAAUUUGAGUAACAAUUGAUCAAAAUAUGAAUUGGUUACUAUGACCAUACUAUGACUGAGUGACUAUGUCUACCUUCUCUCGGUUUUGUUGGUCUCAAAUAAAUAAUGCUUUGAUACAUGAUUUACUGGUUAAUGCAUUCAUGAACAGGAAGACAAAGAGUUACUCGAGCAGCAGAUGCAUGACAUGGCUGUAGUGAUUGAGAAAUUGGAAAGCAGUAGACAAAAGCUUUUAAUGGAGAUUGAUUCCCAAUCUUCGGAGAUAGAAAGGCUUUUUGAGGAGAACUCUAAUUUAUCUAGUUCUCAUCAGGAGGCUAUGAGCAUAGCUGUCACUGGGAGAAUCAGGUACAUUUGGUGGCUGAAUUGAUGACAAUUGACAGAAUAUAGCUUUGUUCAAGGAACUCUGCCUUUGCGUAUCUGGCUGACUGUGCAUCUAUCAGAUGAAUUAUUUUUUUGUAGUAAUAUUUUGUCGUUUACUUUCCCAUUAACUAGGCUCAAAAAACUGUCGGUUGUGCAUGAAAAUGGGUGAUAUUGUUUAAGCUACUUUUGCUGAUAUAUUGGUGAAUCCAUCUAA